GCCACACAGAGCCUUCGUACCCGCCACACAAGCACAAGGUUUUGCGCCAAAAAAACCCCUCAAAUUAGGGUUUCGUCUCGUAAGAUUUUUCACCUCAUCCUCUAAAUCCGUGCAACAAUGCCCAAAUUCUCUGAUCAGCUCUAAUUCGUUCACAAUCGAGUUCGGACAAGACUUUUGCUUGAUAGACUCUGCAGCUACGCCUCCAAUAACAUUCAAGUAACGAUCAGUCUUCAAUCGUAGUACACUAGCCGAUGGAGCUCACACGCUCUUAUCUCGUUGAUAGUUGUGGAUAUAGCAGAUGAUGAUGAGGAAAUUGCUGCACUGGCCUUGAACUGCUUGGGAUUCAUGAUGUAUCAUCCGUCCAUUGUUGCUGCCCUUUCAGAUCAUUUAGAAUUUGGGCAUUUGGUGUAUAUCUGUCCAGCAAAUCAAUGCAUCAUUUCUGUCAGCUCAUUUUCAUUUGCUCUUGCGGGCAUUUGUUCAUGCCCUUGACAAUCCUAUUGGCUCCUUAUCUAUAACAUUUUAGGCCACUCAGGCUGUAACGAAGUUGGCAUCUCAAGUAAGUGAGAAUAUGAGAGAAUCAUCACAUUUAUGGGCUCCUCCAAUAUACAGAAGGCUUCUCAGUGCUGACAAGAGAGGGCGGGAAGAUAAGAUUUAUGAUAUUUCCUCCUCCACCAUAUCUCUCCAAGGCACUUGCAGAAGAUAUCGAGAGAAAAUUGCUGGAUGGGAUGAAAGAACUGCUAGAUCAAGGUAGGAAACUUCAGAUUAUGCAAGCCUGGGGAUGGUUUAUUCGCCUAUUAGGACAACGUGCUUUGAAGAACAUGCAUUUAAUUAACGAUAUGCUAAAGAUACCAGAGCAGACAUUUUUGGAUCAAAAUCCGCAAGUCGAGUUUGUCUACAGCGAGUCCAUGCUUUUUUUAAGAGCAUACUAUUUUUAUAUGAUUCUCUGGAAAUUCUUUCUGCAGCUGUUGGUCUAUUUUAUAAAUACUGGGAUUUGGCUAUAUGUGUGGAUCUGAAGCACUUAAAGAUUGCCUAGAUGUUGCGGAGAAUCUCUCUGUUGAAAGUGCAGUGUGAUAUGUAGCUCUGUUUAUCUUACUUUGUGCCAUG